AUUGAACGCUGGCGGCAGGCCUAACACAUGCAAGUCGAGCGAGCGGCGGACGGGCGAGUAAUGUAUGGGGACUGCCCGAUAGAGGGGGAUAACUACUGGAAACGGUGGCUAAUACCGCAUACUAUCGGAUAACCCAUAUGGGAUUAACUAGUAGCUGGGGUAAAGGCUCACCUGGGCGACGCUCUCUAGCUGGUCUGAAAGGAUGAUCAGCAAGCCUGAGACGAAUACCCGGCCCAGACGCCUACGGAGGCAGCAGUGGCGAAUAUUGCACAAUGGACGCAAGCCUGAAGUAGCCAUGACGCGUGUAUGAAGAAAGCCUUAGGGUUGUAAAGUACUUUCAGCGGGGAGGCGUUACCCGCAGCAGAAGCACCGGCUAACUCUGAGCCAGCAGCCGCGGUAAUAC
rnacentral:rRNA from 1 species